AACUUUCAACAACGGAUCUCUUGGUUCUGGCAUCGAUGAAGAACGCAGCGAAAUGCGAUAAGUAAUGUGAAUUGCAGAAUUCAGUGAAUCAUCGAAUCUUUGAACGCACAUUGCGCCCUCUGGUAUUCCAGAGGGCAUGCCUGUUCGAGCGUCA
rnacentral:rRNA from 4 species